rnacentral:rRNA from 1 species
UGGGGAAUUUUGGACAAUGGGCGCAAGCCUGAUCCAGCCAUGCCGCGUGCGGGAAGAAGGCCUUCGGGUUGUAAACCGCUUUUGUCAGGGAAGAAAAGGUUCUGGUUAAUACCUGGGACUCAUGACGGUACCUGAAGAAUAAGCACCGGCUAACUACGUGCCAGCAGCCGCGGUAAUACGUAGGGUGCAAGCGUUAAUCGGAAUUACUGGGCGUAAAGCGUGCGCAGGCGGUUAUGCAAGACAGAGGUGAAAUCCCCGGGCUCAACCUGGGAACUGCCUUUGUGACUGCAUAGCUAGAGUACGGUAGAGGGGGAUGGAAUUCCGCGUGUAGCAGUGAAAUGCGUAGAUUUGCGGAGGAACACCGAUGGCGAAGGCAAUCCCCUGGACCUGUACUGACGCGCAUGCAAGAAAGCGUGGGGAGCAAACAGG